rnacentral:rRNA from 1 species
AUACGGAGGAUCCGAGCGUUAUCCGGAUUUAUUGGGUUUAAAGGGUGCGCAGGCGGCCAUUUAAGUCAGCGGUUAAAUCGUGGGGCUCAACCCCAUUCUGCCGUUGAUACUGGGUGGCUUGAUUGCGGUCGAGGUUGGCGGAAUUCGUUGUGUAGCGGGGAAAUGCGUAGAUAUCUGGAAGAACACCGGUGGCGAAGGCGGACGUCUGGCCAUGUACUGACGCUGAGGCGCGAAGGUGCGGGGAGCGAACAGGUUUAGAUACCCUGGUAGUCCGCACAGUAAACGAUGUGCACCAGGUGGCGGGGGGUAGCCCUCGGUACCGAAGCCAACGCAUUAAGUGCACCGCCUGGGGAGUAUGCUCGCAAGGGUGAAACUCAAAUGAAUUGACGGG